CGAACGGGUGAGUAACGCGUGAGGAACCCGCCUCAAAGAGGGGGACAACAGUUGGAAACGACUGCUAAUACCGCAUAAGCCCACGGCUCGGCAUCGAGCAGAGGGAAAAGGAGUGAUCCGCUUUGAGAUGGCCUCGCGUCCGAUUAGCUGGUUGGUGAGGUAACGGCCCACCAAGGCGACGAUCGGUAGCCGGACUGAGAGGUUGAACGGCCACAUUGGGACUGAGACACGGCCCAG
rnacentral:rRNA from 1 species